AUUAAGAACCUAGAAAUACAAUAAACCUCUUUACGUUCUCAAGGAAGCCUGACCUGCUGGAAAACUGGGACAAGUCCUGCAGACAACAAUCAACCUUCCAAACAAAGGCAUUAGAAGCCAUGCUAUGCCUUUUUAUGAAAGAAUCGUCAUAACAGCACACAUUUUAAAAGAACAGCAAGCAGUGCAGGAGUGCUCGUUACUAACCUGUAUGCAGUUUAUCCUGAAGGACUGGAUCCAUUAAGGCUUGCAGAACACUGAAACUUGCUCUUGCUGCACUGUAUGCUGACACAUAACUCAGAGAGGCAUACGCUGCUAUCUGAUAUUGCACGCUUUUCAUUCAGAUGGCUAUAUGAAGUACCAAUCUGGACAGAAUCAACUCCUCUACUGUCUGGCUUGUCACCGUCUUCUGUGCUGCUACAUAAUUAUUUGGAAAUUUAGACCAACUCCAAGAUAA